rnacentral:rRNA from 1 species
CCUACGGGAGGCAGCAGUGGGGAAUAUUGGACAAUGGGCGCAAGCCUGAUCCAGCCAUGCCGCGUGAGUGAUGAAGGCCUUAGGGUUGUAAAGCUCUUUCACCGGUGAAGAUAAUGACGGUAUCCGGAGAAGAAGCCCCGGCUAACUUCGUGCCAGCAGCCGCGGUAAU